UACUCCUACGGGAGGCAGCAGUGAGGAAUAUUGGUCAAUGGGCGGAAGCCUGAACCAGCCAAGUAGCGUGCAGGAUGACGGCCCUAUGGGUUGUAAACUGCUUUUAUACAGGAAUAAAGUUAGCCACGUGUGGUUAUUUGUAGGUACUGUAUGAAUAAGGACCGGCUAAUUCCGUGCCAGCGAGCCGCGGUAAU
rnacentral:rRNA from 1 species